GGGGGUGUAGCUCAGAGGGAGAGCACCUCGUUCGCAACGAGGGGGUCAGGGGUUCGAUCCCCCUCACCUCCA
rnacentral:tRNA from 1 species